rnacentral:lncRNA from 1 species
AUCUCAAUCUGAUGGUGAUGAUUCAGUUAAUGAUACAUUAAAAUUUUUUUUCUAAUUAUCAUCCUGCUUUGGCCAAAUACUUUCGAAUCACCGACCUAUGAGAUGAUCACAUAGGAUAUUCGCUCCCCUUAUUAGGAGUGACUGAUCCCUUAUUGAUCACUUACAACCUCCAUGCAUACUUCACCAUAUCUAGAGCACCCCACAC